rnacentral:rRNA from 1 species
AACGAACGCUGGCGGCAUGCCUAACACAUGCAAGUCGAACGAGACCUUCGGGUCUAGUGGCGCACGGGUGCGUAACGCGUGGGAACCUGCCCUUAGGUUCGGAAUAACUCCCCGAAAGGGGUGCUAAUACCGGAUAAUGUCUUCGGACCAAAGAUUUAUCGCCUUUGGAUGGGCCCGCGUUGGAUUAGCUAGUUGGUAGGGUAAAAGCCUACCAAGGCGACGAUCCAUAGCUGGUCUGAGAGGAUGAUCAGCCACACUGGGACUGAGACACGGCCCCGAAUCCUACGGGAGGGAAGAAUGGGGGAUAUUGGACAAUGGGCGAAAGCCUGAUCCAGCAAUGCCGCGUGAGUGAUGAAGGCCUUAGGGUUGUAAAGCUCUUUUACCCGGGAUGAUAAUGACAGUACCGGGAGAAUAAGCUCCGGCUAACUCCGUG